GUGCUUGCUUUGGCAGCACGUAUACUAAAAUUGGAAAAAUACAGAGAAGAUUAGCAUGGCCCCUAUGCAAGGAUGACACGUAAAUUCGUGAAGCAUUCCAUUUAUUU
ensembl:snRNA U6 U6 spliceosomal RNA